rnacentral:sRNA from 1 species
AAAAUUGGAGGAGAGAGGGAGGGGUAGGAUGAGCAAAGCAAAAGGUAGGGCUGCCCGAAAGUUUGGUUUUGCUUUUUCUCAGUAAGGUGUGCGCAGAGACACGGCGAGGCAGGAAGGGACGGCUAAGCCUAGGGUUGGUUUCAGAGUUUUGGUUCCAGCUGGAAGCCAUCUCAGGUUGGUUUCAGAGUUUUGUGUUGCAGAAGCAUUGAUCCCGUGGAGGCCGAAGAUGCUCAGUUUCUGGCCAAAAGAAAUCGAAGAUGCAAAACUGGUAAUUGAAGCUUUAAGAAGUAAAGGUGUUUCUGCAAUUGGUGUUGUAGGCUUCUGUUGGGGCGGAAUGGUUUGAUUUUGCUUGGGUUUCUUGAGGGUUCAACAACAUCAGGUACUUUUUGACCCAAUCAACCACCAAGAACAGGUAUGUUGCCUGUUCGCAUGCUUCCUUUGUUUCAGAAGGGAGUCGACUCAAUUGGGAGUUCGGAGCUUUAGGAGUGUGAAGAAGAGUAUACAGAGAUUGGAGGAAGCAGCUGUGUCUUGCGGGGCACCCGAAAGACUUGAGAUGCUGAGAAGUU